rnacentral:lncRNA from 1 species
AUAUUAAAAUUUGCAAUUAAUAAUUUUAUAUCUCAUAAAUCGUAUAUUAAUUGUAAUACGUGCAAAUAUAUACUGUAUCAUAAUAAAUAAAAGUAACAUGUAUUGGAACAAAUUCUUGGACGGUAUUAAUUAUUAAUUAGUAAUUGUUAUUACUUAUUUAUAUUUCCAAUAUUAUUAUUUCAAAUUACAUAAAAAAUUUACUUUUAAUUAAACUAACUUUUAAUUAAACAAGCAAUUUCCUUUCUUUUGUAUAGACUAUUCUGUGCACCUACAUUAUACAAUAAUGUAAAUAACAAGAUUAUUAAGAAGAUUAUUUAUAUUGUUAUAUGCAAUAAUAGUAAGUUAAUUAUUCAAUUGAUAAAUGUUUUAAAUAUAAAUAUAAAGUUAAAAUUGCUUAUUGCAGCGGAUGUUGAUGUUGAAUAUAAUUUUCUAUUAAUUUAAUAUUUCUGGCUCAUCUAAAGUACACGCCGACAAUUUUAUCAAUCUUGAAACACAGUUACUAAACUGAAUAUCGAUACGCAGAAGCAUUUUUUAAAUUUUCCCUUUCCCGAAAAAAACUGUAAAUAAUUUAUUGAGAAAAAUGAUACCUCAGUCAGAAUUCAAACACGCAUGAAUCUUUCAAGAUUCACAAAAUUGUCAGCGCGCAGUUUAUAUGAGCUAAGAAAUUAAUAGAAAAAUUACAUUCAGCUACCGACCGAAAUAGGCAAUCUUAACUUUAUCUUUAUAAUUAUUAUAUGCAUUAUAAAAUGUAAACAAAAAUAACAUUUCAAAAAUCAUAACAAAAAUUAAUAAUAUUGUCUAAAGACUUAUAAGUAUCUUAUUAUAUUAAUAUUGUACUUUGCGCAAAAUUGCUACAGUAGAUUACUAUAACGGUAUAAAAUUUAACCAGCAAAAUUAUUAUUUUCAAUUUAUAAUCAUAAACUGGAUAUAAUGGAAAGGUAGUGUUGUUUUUGUAUAAAAGAUGAUGCAUACGCUUGCAAAAUCCUGUUUUGUUUGAAAUAAGAGCUUCAUGAGAUGUAAUUUAAAAACGGUAUAAUUAUAAGAAUGCAUUUUUAUAUUGCAAAAUAAAUGGAUUUUUUAUGUUGCAAAAUAAAUAAAUGCAGAAUAAGCAAAUAAUUACAAUUUGCACUUUUAAUAACGAAAAAAAAAAAAGACAAGAAACGGUUUGUAUCGAGAUAGCGAGUUAUGUUACAUACUCAUUGUUAUUACUAUACAUAUAUGUAUAUUCGUAUGACAGCAUUACGAAACACUACAAUGACGGAAGAAGAAUAAUGAGAUUUGCAUAAUAUAUUCUUUAUCACUUAUCAACUCUACAUUUAUUUAAAAUUUUGGAACAGUCAUACAUAAUUAUAAAAUUCAUCAAUAAAGAAGAUGAAAUUUCGUAUAUGUUAAUCAUACCUGUAAGUAAGUAACACAGAAAAAUUCAAUUAUCUGCGUUUGUUAAAACAAAUUUACUUUGUGCUACAGCGAUUGCGGAUUUUAAUUUGUUCUCUUCAAUACAUAGAUACAAAUGCACAAAUACGCCCACUCUCGACUUGUCCGCGCGCACGUUUACUCAUAUAUGCUCGCCUCAGUCUCAUGUUGUGUGUAUAUACGCGUACAUGCUUUUUUAUGCCCUUUCAAUCUACGUUUAUUCAUUCUUUUAUGGAUACCAACCGGGCUCGCCUUUCAUUUUGUUUCAACGGAGGAGGAGGAGAGAACCGAAUGAAAAGUUGAAACGGGCGGAGGAAAAGAGUAGAAAUAAACGAAUGGGAGGAUAGGAGAGGGACGGGAGUGUAGAAGGGUACGUACGCGGAGGAAGAGGGGUAGCGGAGGAUCGAGGGAGAAAUGAAAAAGGAGACAAGGAGAAAGGGGCGAAAGUGGGUGGUGGGUUGUUACUCCCACGAUGGUGCUGGGGAGGAAAGGCUCGCUCGAAGGUGGAGGAAGAGUAUAUAAACCUGUAGAAAUGCAUUAGGUACCUACCUACGGGCGAUAUUACCCAGGGAAAAAUUCUGCUUCUCAAAGGGUCGCUCCGAGUGCUUUUCAAAGUAGAUUUUCGGAACGAGCUUGUCCGAUUUUUCUUAAAAGGAUCGCAUCGAAAGAGGGAAAUUGCACUAACUCGAUGGACACGAUGGCCUACCGAUUUAAUCACUAAUACCAUAUAUACGCAUAUGUGUGUCUACAAGAUUAUGAAGAGUUCAGAUCUUACAAUUAGUAGGUAAAUUGCUCCUAUCUCUGAUAAGAUUAAUUUUUCAAUUUAUACACUGGAAAAAAAGUUUUGUUGUUUUAUGAGAAAUUUUGGUUGAUUCAACCUGUCCGUUUGUUCGAAAAUGAACGAUACAAAUUUUGUAGUUGGAAUUACCAGAGGAUUCUGGUUAAUUCCAUUCUGUUUGAAUCUACCAGAAUUUCUUGUUAAUCUUACUACAUCGUUUUGUUAGGUUUACAAAACUCUACAAAAAUUUCUUGUUAAUCUUAUUAUAUUGUUUUAUUAGGUUAACACAAUUUUUUGGUUAAAAAACGAGUUUGGAUAGAGUUUUUAAAAUAAUAACAAUAUAUCUUGGUUUAAAGUACACUGCAUAUAUUUUACAUAUAUUUUACUAACCUCUAAAAAUCUCUAUAUAGCUGUCGAAAUUCCAUUCGCGCAGAAGAGAAGACAUUUUUUCGUCCGCCAUGCCGUUGAACAGAAUAAUGUAAAUACACGAUUGUAAGAUACACGAAACAAAUAUAAAAGCUACCUUAUGGGUACCGCGUGAUAUUAGUAUCGCAUCGAUACCGCGUUGAUUUGCGCGAGAUUGGCAUGCACCGACUUGCGCUGCGAGAACGAAGGCGCCAGCAUUAUCGCUAUUUUUGUAAAUAUAACAAGAAGUUUUGUAUUAUUUUGUAGAUUCAACAAGAAGUUUUGUAGAUCCAACAAGAAAAACUUAAUCAAAUCCUUAUAGUACAGUUAACCAAACGGUGUAGUUAUAAGCUGUAAAAUCUUGUUAUGAUAACCAGAAAUUCUGUUUCGUUUAAUAAGAAUAUGCUCAACCAGAACCGUUUUAUUAUUAUAAUAAAACCAUUUUUCUCAGUGUACAGAUUAGAUUUUGUUUUACUUUAUUGUGAAUUUACUGUGUGCUAAGUACUAUCAAAAUCCCUAAAUAUCAAUUCUAUUUUUCAUCAAUUUGUAUAUGUAAGAAGUACAGAUUAAAAAUAUUUUUUAUCAAAAAUAUUAUUGACUGUUAUAUGUGAUGUUCUUCAAAACGGAUCUGAUAUCGUUAUUAACGAUAUAAAAACGUGGAAACAAUUUUAUUCAACUAUUUAAAUUAGGUAACUAUGUAUAAAUGAAACAUCCAUCGCAUUAAUAUUCGCCGCUUUAUUAUUUCGUUUUAUUACUUCGUAGCGGAAGAUCUAACGAAUAGAUAUGCACAAUCGGAAACAUUGAUCGCGCGAUGCCAGACAACGGUAUUCUAUGGAAGAGAUUUAAUUUAGACGAACGUUUCAAAUCAGAUUGAACCGGGAAAUAAGGACGUUGUAUGGUAAUAGUGGUAGUACUGAUGGCAAUGGUGUAGUGAAAAGCAAUAAAAUCGAGAGAAAGAAAAAAUGAGAGAAAAGAAAAGAGAAGAGAGAGAGAGAGAGAAAGAGAACCCCACAGGUGUAGGAGAAAAACAAGGGAGAGAACCCUUCAUAAUGUUGGGAUAAACGAGGACAGAAAUCAGAUCGAACAUAUUGCAAUUAGAUAAUUUCUACAAAAAUUAAUAAAAAAAUAUCAUCAUUGCUUGCAAUUAUAAUAUCAUAAUUAGUAUUCAUAUGUAAAGAAAAGUCACCAAUACUAAAAUACAGAUAUCUUAAAGCGACAUUACUUUAUUUCUCGAAAACUAAAAAUUAUAUUUUAUUAAUAUAAACUAAAAGGCAAAUAUGUUGUGCUUUAUUACCACAAAUAAAAUUCAAACUACACUCUUGAAGUAGCUAGAUGGAUUUUCGGGAUCGGACCUAUACUAUAAUUCAGUUCGAUUCUUUGAGAGUCCAUCUGCAUUAACAAGAGUGUGCAGUGCUUUGUACGUGAGAAAUAGUACGAAAAAGAAUUUGGAUAGGGUGCAAAAUCAUCCAACUUUUGCUUUUUAGCUUGUAAGAUUAGUAAAUUUUUGUUUUUUACGUAAAAGUAAGUGAAAUAAAGAGAUUUGCUCAUACGUUAAAGAUUAAGUGAAAAACUUUGUUCGUGUGACCUCAUUCUGAUUCCAUUCCAAUUUAGAAAGUAAGAUGCCUUGCGCUACCGACGAGUCUUACUAUUAUCGUUGUAAAGUAUUUUUUUCGUUUAUAUCUCCAUUAAUAAGUUUUAUUUAAUAUUUAUAAACAUAAAAAAUUUAAUAAAAGAAGAUUCAAAUGUAAAUUUCACUACUUCUAUAAUUAAUUUUCCCAUUUAUCACUUUUAAAAAAUUUACAUUUUCUCAAAUAAGUACAUUUUUAAAAACCGUUAAUGCCCUAUUUGACCCUUAAAAUGCAUUUAACCCCCUUUAAAAUGGCGUUAAAAUUUUUAAUUUAGCCUUAUUUGUUAAGAAAUUAGAGUCAUUUUUAAAAAAAAAAGCAUUUUGGCACAUUUUCCGUAUUUUUCUUCUUUAAGUGGAUUUUUCAAUAUUUCUCUGACAAAAAACACCAUAUUUAUAUACACCAUUGUUUUCUUCAUAAAAAACGAAGAAAAUUCACUACUUAAUUAGUAACAUACUAUUGAUAAAAAAGAUUGAGGCAGAAAUUUGAAAUAAAAUUUCAUCUCAAUUUUGCCUUUGAAAGUAAAAUUCAGUUUUGCCUUUUAGGAUAAAUAAAAAUAUGAUAUAAAUGGAUAAUUAAAGAAAAAAAACUCUAUAUAUCUGUGUGACUUUUUCUAUAUAAAAUCCGUUGAAAAUAUAUAUUGUUUAACAGUGAGAUUAUAAAAUUUGCAUAAAUUUUUUUUACAAGUUGCGUAACUUAAAUAACAAUACAUAUAUAUUAUCAAUAUACAAUAUUGAUUAGAAUAUUACAUGUUUGUAAUAUCCUAAAAUCUAAAACUAUUUCAUUUAUCUUUUUCUCAUAAAAAGUUUUAAAUGUAACAUCUCAGAUUUACUGCAUAAAUUGGCACUGUUUAAUAAGACAGAUUGAUAAUAAAAUAGCUAAUAAGAAAUUAGAGAAAAUAAAAACAUUCCAAAAUCUAUUAAAUUAGUAACUUAAUUUGAUGUUUAUAUUUUAUCUACACGUUGAGUCUUGCGAAAACAAGUAUUUGUAUAAACCAACAAAAACAUUUUACUUCAAAGUAAAAAGUUUCUCGAAAUCUUCAUAUAUCUUAACUUGUAAGUAUUUUAUACAAAUAAUGAUCUUGCAAAUUAUCAUCGUAAUUGUUGUAGAGAUUAAUCCGUCCUUAAAUAGCAUUUAUGCACAUGUAUAUAAAAUUAAAAUUUCGUAAUUUAAUAAUUUCUAAACAUCUUACGAUAUAUUUAGUUAAUUUUCAUAAAACUUCUAAUUUAGUUUUGAUUAUUUGUUUUAAAAGGUGACAUUAGUUUUGCUAACCAAAUUUAUGCAUAUCAAUACGAUAUUAAUAAGUAGAAAAUAUCAAUCAAUAUCAUUGAAAAUUACUACAUGAAUAUCGUACAUCCACAUAUUAAAAAAUGCAAAUUGAUUUAAAAAUUGUAGGCAAAGUUUUUUCUUAUAUUGAAGCUCCUAACUCAUUUCGAAAAAUACAGUAUUGUAUUAUCGUGAGUUGGAACUAUAUUUGUUUCAUACAUGCAAAGUAUAAAACUUUUAUUAAUAUAUGUAUAAAGUUGUCACGAGUCGACACUAGAUAUCAAUAAUAAAUCAGCAAUUUUUUAAUUCUUUUCCAUUUUUCAUAUGAAACUGUUGCGUUUCAACUACGUCACUGUACUGUGUACUCACUGUGUGAAAAAAAAAACGAAUAAUUUUGUAUAAUCAACAAGAAAAAUUACUGUAAAAAACAUUAUGUUUAAUUGAUUAAAAUUGCUUAUACAAU